rnacentral:lncRNA from 1 species
AAGAAGUGAUUGUUGCUUGACGCCAAAAGGUUAUUCGGAGGUGAUAUAAGGUCAUUCGGAGGCAAAAUACAGCUAAAGACCAAAAUUGUAAAUACGUUUAUAAGCAACGCCCGUACCUCAAAUUCAGCUAUAAAAGGUUCUGAAUGACAAAUGUUAAAGAAUCCAAAUAAGAAAACUAACGGCCUCAUGUACAAAAUAAAUAAAAGAAAAACAAAUAUGUA